GGUUCUAUGGUGUAGCGGUUAUCACUCCGGGUUUUGAUUCCGGCAACCCGAGUUCGAACCUCGGUAGGACCU